rnacentral:rRNA from 1 species
AUUGAACGCUGGCGGCAGGCCUAACACAUGCAAGUCGAGCGGAUGAAGGGAGCUUGCUCCUGGAUUCAGCGGCGGACGGGUGAGUAAUGCCUAGGAAUCUGCCUGGUAGUGGGGGAUAACGUCCGGAAACGAGCGCUAAUACCGCAUACGUCCUGAGGGGGAAAGUGGGGGAUCUUCGGACCUCACGCUAUCAGAUGAGCCUAGGUCGGAUUAGCUAGUUGGUGGGGUAAAGGCCUACCAAGGCGACGAUCCGUAACUGGUCUGAGAGGAUGAUCAGUCACACUGGAACUGAGACACGGUCCAGACUCCUACGGGAGGCAGCAGUGGGGAAUAUUGGACAAUGGGCGAAAGCCUGAUCCAGCCAUGCCGCGUGUGUGAAGAAGGUCUUCGGAUUGUAAAGCACUUUAAGUUGGGAGGAAGGGCAGUAAGUUAAUACCUUGCUGUUUUGACGUUACCAACAGAAUAAGCACCGGCUAACUUCGUG